UACGUAGGGUGCAAGCGUUGUCCGGAAUUAUUGGGCGUAAAGAGCUCGUAGGCGGUUUGUCGCGUCUGCUGUGAAAACUCAGGGCUUAACUCUGAGCUUGCAGUGGGUACGGGCAGACUAGAGUGCGGUAGGGGAGACUGGAAUUCCUGGUGUAGCGGUGAAAUGCGCAGAUAUCAGGAGGAACACCGGUGGCCGAAGGCGGGUCUCUGGGCCGUAACUGGACGCCUGGAGGAAGCGAAAGCAUGGGGAGCGAACAGG
rnacentral:rRNA from 1 species